rnacentral:rRNA from 1 species
AUUGAACGCUAGCGGGAUGCUUUACACAUGCAAGUCGAACGGCAGCGCGAACUUCGGUUUGGCGGCGAGUGGCGAACGGGUGAGUAAUAUAUCGGAACGUACCCAGUAGCGGGGGAUAACUACUCGAAAGAGUAGCUAAUACCGCAUACGCCCUACGGGGGAAAGGGGGGGAUCGCAAGACCUCUCACUAUUGGAGCGGCCGAUAUCGGAUUAGCUAGUUGGUGGGGUAAAGGCUCACCAAGGCGACGAUCCGUAGCUGGUUUGAGAGGACGACCAGCCACACUGGGACUGAGACACGGCCCANACUCCUACGGGAGGCAGCAGUGGGGAAUUUUGGACAAUGGGGGAAACCCUGAUCCAGCCAUCCCGCGUGUGCGAUGAANGCCUUCNGGUUGUAAAGCACUUUUGGCANGAAAGAAAUC